CUCAAAGAGAAUGAAAGCAUAAAUUCUUGUGGCCUCUUCCAAAUCACUCUGAAAGUAAUGGAAGGACUGUUAGUUCAAGAAAUUAGAUCUCAAAAGGAUAACUACCAAUUUUAAGAGCAGCUGGAGGAGCAAAUGCUUCUUUCUGUUCAUUCUGAAGAUGAAAACCAGGUGGUAUGGAGUGUGCUAAGGCAACCACCGGCAGUGCCUGGAAGAGCAACAUAGCAUCGAUGCGAGAAGGUCAGAUGUUGGGGCAAAAUUUCCUGGGGCUUCACAUCCACGAGAUGGUGCCACAGCAUCACUGGAUGGGCAGAGGAAACAGCUUUGAGGAUGUCUACCCAGGGCUGAGGUGUCACCUCUGAAUUAAGUCCACAAAGAACAAACCAAUUCUGAACAUACUGCUGUAAAUCCUUGUGGGACACAGUAUGGGAGCCCUUCCAGGAUGUGACCUUUAGAUAUUGACAGAGGAGUUGUAUAUGCAUAUAUUCUCAUAUGGUAAGUUAUAUAUUGACCAUAAUGACAAUCUGAGCAGUUUCAUUCUUAGGUAUUUGUAUGGCAUCACAAUAUAAUUAGUCUUCCAUAACACAUAAUCUUUGGGUUAAUUCUUUUGUUUUUCUAGAGCCUUAAACACUGUAUUGCAUUUUGAUAAAGACAUUACACCAUUUAAAACCAGUAUAUUAUAGUAUCUUCCA
rnacentral:lncRNA from 1 species